rnacentral:rRNA from 1 species
AGAACGAACGCUGGCGGCAGGCUUAACACAUGCAAGUCGAACGGUUGUAGCAAUACAGCAGUGGCAGACGGGUGAGUAACACGUGGGAACCUUCCUAGGGGUACGGAACAACUCAGGGAAACUUGAGCUAAUACCGUAUACGUCCGUGAGGAGAAAGAUUUAUCGCCCCUAGACGGGCCCGCGUAGGAUUAGGUAGUUGGUGAGGUAACGGCUCACCAAGCCUACGAUCCUUAGCUGAUCUGAGAGGAUGAUCAGCCACACUGGGACUGAGACACGGCCAGACUCCUACGGGAGGCAGCAGUGGGGAAUCUUGGACAAUGGCGCAAGCCUGAUCCAGCCAUGCCGCGUGAGUGAAGAAGGCCUUAGGGUGUAAAGCUCUUUACCAGGGACGAUAAUGACGUACCUGAGAA